rnacentral:rRNA from 1 species
GAUGAACGCUGGCGGCGUGCCUAAUACAUGCAAGUCGAGCGAACGGACGAGGAGCUUGCUUCUCUGAUGUUAGCGGCAGACGGGUGAGUAACACGUGUAUAAUCUACCUAUAAGACUGGGAUAACUUCGGGAAACGGUAGCUAAUACCGGAUAAUAUUUUGAUCCGCAUGGUUCAAAAGUGAAAGACGGUGUUGCUGUCACUUAUAGAUGGAUCCGCGCUGUAUUAGCUAGUUGGCAAGGUCACGGCUUACGAAGGCAACGAGGCAUAGACGAGGUGAGAGACGGGUAGGCGACCCUGGAGCUUGGACGCGGUCCAGGCUCCUGAGGGAGGCAGCAGACGGGAACCUUAGGCAGUAGGCGGGAGCCUGGCGGAGCGACGCCGCGCCAGAUGUGACAGCGCUGCGAGCGUAAUACUGUGUUAUGAGUGAUAAACCUCUUUGUAAGGAGCUGUGGAGUGCUUGACGGUACCGAGUCAGAAAGCCACGGCUAACUACGUG